AGCCACAACAAGAAUUGUUGGUUUUCUCUGGUUCUCAAUUUGUCCUCUCAAAUAAUAUAUUUUUUCAUUUCUCUUCAUCUUCGCAGUUGGGUGUUGCAACUUUCAGGUUGAAUCUCUCGGAACAAGUAGAACAAGCAUUAUGAUUGAUUAUAGAGAGAGCAUUGCUAGCCGAAUAAUGUGAUUUAUCCCUUGAUAGAGAAAUAUGCUCACAUCAGGUUAAACUACCCAAAAUUUUCUUGCCAUGGUUGCAGAUGACUAAAGCCUCUCCUCCAUCACUUAAAUUGGUAAUGGCAAUGAACUAUAUA